UUUGUGGAGUUGUAAGAAACAAUGUCUGCGGCAAGGAGAUGGGGCCUGGAUGCAAAAGUAGCGUCGUGGGUCUUCAUCACCUCUUUGGCAAAUUCUGCUGAUGAAACAACCACUGUGGAAACUUCUCCAAGCCUUAGGUGCAUUAGGGGUCCGUAUUUGUUGGCCAAGUUUCGCAGACUGCGAUGGGGUAGAGAGCCAGCAAGCUGGUGGAUGUUCCCUAUAAAGGGUAGCUCACGUGGUCCUGGUGGUAGAUUUGAACUGGAGCUUUUGGUUUUGCCUCUGCUUGCUAUUUUGAGUACCAUAACCACAAAGAGAGAAAAGGUAAGUAUGGCAUGGAAGAAAGAGAACUGGAGGUCCAUGAUGAACUUUUUAGUGACACUGAAUGCAUCUACCAAUCUUUGGAUUAUGUAUAUAUAGAACAUGAUGUAGCAAUGACUUUUUCUUGAUGCAAAAUUUCUAUCAAAUUGACUUGUUUGGAUAUGUUUAUUUUUAUCAAUAUUAAACAUGAAUACAAUAACUGAUAUCAGACCAUCAGUAUCUUUACUACAUUUGAUUCAUUUGUAUCGCCUUCAUUGUCUUUUUGUCCUAAUAACUUAUCCAAGUAAACAAAAGUGAAGGCAUGUUGUGACUGUUUGAUUUGUGCAACAGGGAGUCCCAUACCGAAUAUAGCAGCGGCCAUAUUUGUCUGGUCUUAGAUGUGGAGGAAAGAAACAAGGGAAAUGAUCCAGAACUGAGGUAAUAUAAUAUAAGGCUCCAAAAAACUUUGUUACAACUUAUGCAUUGAUCCCUUUCCCUCUCUAGUUUAUUAUCUAGCAAUUCUUGUUUUUUGGUACAAAUAUUAUCUUGAAUUUAACUAUGAAUCUUUUUGUGCCAUUCGGCAAUCAGAGCCGGCUGCCCCUGGCCAUGCCAGACUCUAUGCUAGAGAAUAUCACAAUGUGCUUAACAUCUGUUUUGAACUUAAAACGACAGCAGACUUGUUACGAAUCAGAUAGAACUAGUAAUACAAUUACAAUGAUACCGUAGUACUUUAGAGGAUAAACUGAAACAUUAUGGUGCUACAUUGAGUACAUUCACAGCACCUGGAAGAAGGCAAGGAACUAAACCCAUUGCACAUAACAGCAAACCAUGUUGAGGAUGGCACUCAUGUGAGAGGAGGAACAACAUGUAGUCGACUUGUACAGCUCAAAACCAACCCCAGUUCUUCACUAUCCUUGACAAUCUAGCUAUUUAGGGACCAAAUUAUGACACUGGUGAUGAAGGUUAGGUCCAUUAGAAAUCAACAGAAGUAGCAGAAGAUACUUUAAUAUGUUUAACUAUAUAGGUUGAUAUAGAAAACAUUUUCAUUAGUAAGAAGUGGCUGGGUUUUGUUUUCCAGCUUCUCUUUUCAAGCCACUAACAGCAGUGGUUGAUGAAGAGCUUCUAAGUUAAAAACUAUCAUACUAGUUAUAAUGCACAUGAAGAUAGAAUCGUGAUGUGUUAAUACAUCAUAUUUGAGGGAUAGAACAUCGGUCUUACUCGCCUAAGAAGACACAUAUUGCCACAUAAAACGGGCUUGGGCCUUAACUAGGCCCAAGAAACCUACACUCUCUCUUGAGGGCACAAUAGUAAUACACUUUCCAGUAAGGGCAAAAUGGUACUUUUAGGGUGCAAUCACCUUAUCUCUAUAAAUACAUGUUUCCACCCCUCAUUUGGGUAAGCUUCCAUUUUCACCCUAUUCACACCUUAUCGCUAUGCUCAUAUGGCUGACUUAGGCAUCGGAGGGUCGAAGGCCGGCAAAUCCGGUCUUCCCUCUUACGCUGUUUGCUCAUGAUUGACAGGUUAUGGGUCUUAAAGAUGGUGUCUUCUUGCAUUCCGUGUGAUUCUUCCCCCUCGGAAAUCACGCCGGAACAUGAUGUUUGCCUUUUCUCCUUGUGUGUGUGUAUAUACCGGUUAUGAUGUUUUUUCCCAAAAUAAUGGACAGGUAGCCUAAUUCUUCUAACUCAAUCUAACAGGAAUUGGGUUUGAAGAUAAAGACACUUUAGUGUGUCUUGGUCUAAAUAGGAAUAGGAAUAGGAGAAAGUAAUCUUAUAUUGUAGUAGAUAGGAUGCGUAUGUAUUCUAGAAAUAGGUUUCUUAUUGUUACCAAAAAGUACUUUGUAAUCCUCUAUAAAUAGAGGCUUCUAUCAAUGAAUGAUAAUCUUAGAAUGAUAUAAACUCAUGAUGUGGUUAUUGACUGCUUUGUGUUUAAAUUGUGAUUUGCUCUAAUGUUUAAAAUUGCCGAAUUCUUGGCCAAGAGCCAUACAACCGUGUUUUAAUUUUAAACAACUAACAUUAGGUCCAAUUGCAGUGAGGAGAGAUGGUCAGUUGAAAUGUAAUUUCUAGUCACAUAAACUUUUAUGUUUCCCCUGGGUGUGUUGUCUGUGUGCUUGCAGAACCGCAGAAAUUUGACUGACUUCCAAAGACUACUUUUCCCACAUUCCCAUGUCAACAAGGAGUAACUAUUUAUUGCAAUAAUCCAUUUUAACAUUAACACAAAGAACAAUUUAGUACAAUAUUGCCUAGUGAAGGAGGAAAGAAAUCACAUAUAUACUCGGCUGACUGAUUCCUAGCUUUAUACAUCUCACACUAGCAAGGACAUAGGCAGUCAUCCGAUCCUUCUGGUAUGGUAUUCAUUGGUUUUGUUUCUUAGUGGUUAAGAUGACCAGGUCUACCAAAUCCAAAGUCAUAGGCUCUACAAGAUACCAAGGAAUAGCAGAAAUAUGGAAGAAAAUGAACACUGGCAUGUUUCUCUAAACUCAAGUCUUGACUGUAAGUUGUAACCAAAAAAAAAAACCUUAAGUCUUGGUGACUAUUCUGAUUUCAUUAUGUAUUUUUGCUGUUUUUGUUCCUUCAAAUAUUUUUGUUACCACAUAUACUAUUUUCAACUCAUUCAAAUCAUCUGUCUUUGAUUCCUGCUGUCACUAUGGUGCUGUAGGUUUUGUUUACAUGAGAUGACAAAAAAAAAACAAAGAAGUGAUUUCUUUGCAUGCAUAAAAAACAAUUACACUAGGGUUUCUUCAGUUGGUGGAGGAUGAUAUGGGAUGGGUAUAAGGCACAGAUUUUCUUUCCUGCCGACUGUAAUGCCGAAGGCCUCAGUCAUGUCCAGGUCUUCAUGUUUCUUCCCAUCUGGGAGUUUCCAAUCAAAAUGGUAUAACAACAUUGCAAGAGGGAGAUCCACAUUGGCCAGACCAUAUGUUAUGCCGGGGCACAUUCUCCUUCCAGCUCCAAAGGGGAUAAACUCAAAGUCUGUUCCCCUGAAAUCAACUGAGCUAUCAAGGAAUCUGUCUGGAUAAAAUCUCUCAGGCUCAGUCCAGUACUUAGGAUCUCUACCAAUUGCCCAUCCAUUGACAACUACCUUUGUUUUGACAGGAAUUUCAUACCCACCAAUCUCACAUGUCUCUCUGCAUUCUCUUGGGAUUAAAAGAGGAGCAGAUGGGUGCAAUCUGAGUGUCUCUUUGAUAAUCGAGUUUAAAUAUUUCAUCUCUUUGAUGCCUGUUUCACUUACGUGCCCUAAUUUAUUGAACACUUCCCUCACCUCAUCCUGUGCCCUUUUCAUGAUUUGUGGAUUCUUAACCAUUUCUGACAUUGCCCAGUCUACAGCUGUUGCUGAUGUCUCACUCCCAGCUGCAAAAAUGUCCUGAAAAUGAUGAAUUACUUGUUAACCUCUAUAUAGUUUACUAUUUAUAUUAAAUACAAUUCUUAUAGGAAAAUCAAAUCAUAGUUUAUGGCUUAAACUCCGAAGCGAAUAGCUUAUUCUUGAACACAGGUAAGCUCACUAGAGUUCCAUUAAGAGUGUCAGUUAACAUGUAAGGAGAACAACCACAGAAGCAUUAUGAUACCAGAAGAUAAUAGUGCAUAAAAAUAAAACCAAAUAAUAACAAAUAAAAGAAUUACCAACUUUAUCAACUGUACGUUUAAUGUAUUACAUUGUUUAGAAUAGGAAGUAGAGUGAUCUUGUGAGACCUGGCUGUAUAAAUUGGCACAUAGCCUUUGUCAAUUUGUGUGGACUUGAUCUAUGGGGUCUUUCUCAGUUUGUUCAUUUCCAAGAGACCAGUAGAUCAAGUGAAUUUGAGGGUCUCUUGGAAGAACAACUUGAUAAGGUGAAUUACUAGAGUCAAAAUUAAAUCAAAAUCGAGGCAUCAUAAGAGUAAGUAAUGGGGUAAGGUGUGUUCAGGAUUGUGGUAUUGGUAUCUAGUAAUAGUAUAUAUCCAUCAGUUUUGGUCAGUAUUAAGUUUUUGCGUUUAUGGAUUGUUGGUUUUGCUGAUCAACUAUGUGUUGCUGGUACAUAAUGUAAUGAUCAUUGAUGCUAAGACUGUGUGUGAUAUUAUAAAUGCCUUUGCCAGAAGUAGAUGACUAGAUGUUAGCAGCUCUCACUCCCUCUCAGGAUUUCAUAUCUUAUUUUAGGAUCACUCAAACUAAAUUAUCAGUAAAAAGUUUACUUACCAUCAUUACUGCUUUGAUGUUGUCAGUAGUUAGGGUAAACUCAAGGCUGCCGUUAUCCUCGUGAAAUUUUAAGAGUACUUCUAUCAGGUGUUCCUGUGUUUCACUCUCACCACCUUUUGAUGUUUCCUUAUCUCUGAGUUCUUUGAUGAUGUUCUCCAGUAUCCUGUCAGUUUUCUUGUGCAACCUUUCAAGCUUAGGCCUCAAUCCAGUUAUCAUAUGAAGCAACCUGUAAGAGGGAAAGACAUCUGCAAGGUCAAAGCCUCCUCCCAGUUGUAUACCUUCCUUCACGCAAUCUAUAAAUUCUUCAUGAUAUUUGCUCUUUUUACCGAAGGCUGCUCGUGUAGUGAUCGUAUAUGUAGAUGAGUAAAUUUUUUCUGUAAGAUUGAUAGGUGACCUGGCUUUGGAAGCAAUCCAUUUUAUGAGAUUCAGCAUCUCUUCCUCUCUAAUAGGUCGAUAAGAUUGAACACGCUUUGGGCUUAAGACCUCCAGUGUGCAAAUUUUUCUCAGUUGUCUCCAGUAAUCACCAUAUUUUGCAAAGACAAUGUUUGUGCAGUUGUAAUUCACGAUGUCUGCAGCAAGGAGAUAUGGCCUUGUUGCAAAAGUAACGUCGUGGGUCUUCAUCACCUCUCUGGCAAACUCUGCUGAUGAAACAACCACUGUGGAAAUUUCUCCAAGCCUUAGGUGCAUAAGGGGUCCGUAUUUGUUGGCCAAGUUUCGCAGACUGCGAUGGGGUAGAGAGCCAGCGAGCUGGUGGAUGUUUCCUAUAAAGGGUAG
rnacentral:lncRNA from 1 species